ACCCGAACAUCGGCGCAAUCGUCUAAAGAAACCUACUCUACUACCGACAAGACCUCUUCAGACCUCUACCUCUCAUUCACGGAACUCGUUUGUGACUUGGUCGCCGUAUCAACGCAGCAUACAGAAAUUGCGAUGUCGUCUUUAAGAUUCAUUGGUAUCUUUUUAUUUCUGAUAAAUUUGGAAUACUUUGUAUUUGGCCAAAGAGAAAUUCGUUUUGUUCCAACACUUAAUGGCAAACCGUUCAAAUGUGUUUUUUGGACUGAGAUGAUACGUCAUAAUUGCAAACGUCUGUGUAUGAAGCAUUUUCCUGCACACGGAGGUGGAUGUACCUUGUUUAAAUGUUAUUGCUUAAUAUGUGAAGAUUAAAUUUAUCUUUUUCUCACUUAAGAAAAUAUGGAUUUACAGCUUCAAACCUUCAUGAUUUUUAACGCUGUCUCAAUGUUGAAAAUUUUAAAUAUAAAAGUUUAUUUUAUAAUAGUAUUGUGAACUAAAUUUACUAGUCAAACGAAUUAAGUUCAUCGAUUAUGUUGAUUUAUGGUAUAUAGUUUGAAUUACGUGAAGAAAUGUAUUACAAAUAAAAUUUUGUAACUACUUAA